UUCACAAGAUCGGUAUUGUUUUAACACCGUAAGUCUCCUGCAUAUGGAAAAUGAGUUGAAUUUUUAUUAUGUUUUAGCCUUACAUUCUCAUCCUCUGACAGCUCUUGAGUAGUUUAUUUCAGCAGUCAGCACCAUCUCACACGCACUCUACGCAGGGAAGCUGAUGAAUAUAAGUGAGUGUUCCGAAAAAGAAAAAAAAAGAG
rnacentral:lncRNA from 1 species